rnacentral:ncRNA from 1 species
UGGCUUUGGGUGUUAUGCGAUACGUCAUAAUGAAAAGGAAAACGGGUGUAAAUCCCGUACGAACUCGUCACUGUAAUAACGGAGUGUAAAAAUAAUAUGUCACUGAUUAUUCGGGAAGGCUUUUUUACACGUUGAUGUUUAAGUCAGGAGACCUGCCCGUAA